ensembl:lncRNA
GGGCAGUGGUAGCGCUGUGUGACAGGAGCAUGAACUUCAGGAUCACUGGCUGCUACUCCGACACACUUCACCAGCCACCAGCUGCCCCCCCAACGACACCACCAGCUGGACUUUCCCACUGAGCCCUCUUCAACCCCGGAGGCUUUAUUAUCCCUUUUCUAAACCCGUCACUGGCUGUGUUUUAGUGUUAUGUACAAUGCGUUGGCAUUAUUAUUGCUAAUGCAUAAUGCAUAUAUUUGUUUUUGUUGUUAGACCACCGUUGUCACCACUUUAUACAACUUCAUAUUCUGCUUUGUAGUGUAAUCUACAGCGAUGCGUCAUAUUCCAUAAGCGUGUCAUAGGUUUGUAUCAUCACUGUCUUGGGUGAACCAUGUAUUUCGCUGUUCCAGGAUGGUUUCUACUGGAGUGGAAAGGUAUUGAAAAUUGUUAUCUAAAAAGUAAUUGAAGCUGACAGAAGUUUCAUCUCUUUUGCAAGAGAUAAUUACUUUACACUGAUUGCAUUGCCAAUUGUUAGAAAGGUCAUGUGUUAUUCAAACAAAAUAUUAUUAAAUCAUGAUUAUCUUAAAA